GCUUACGGCCACACCUACCUGAGCACGCCCGAUCUCGUCUGAUCUCGGAAGCUAAGCAGGGUCGGGCCCGGUUAGUACUUGGAUGGGAGACCGCCUGGGAAUACCAGGUGCUGUAAGCC
rnacentral:rRNA from 1 species